GCCCGCCUAGCUCAAUCGGAUAGAGCGUCAGACUUUUACGGACGAGAAACUUCUUCAAUCUGAAGGCUGCGAGUUCGACUCUCGCGGUGGGCU